rnacentral:rRNA from 1 species
GUAAGGAAUAUUGGACAAUGGACGCAAGUCUGAUCCAGCCAUGCCGCGUGAAGGAUUAAGGUCCUCUGGAUUGUAAACUUCUUUUAUAAGGGACGAAAAAAGGCUUUUCUAAGUCGUCUGACGGUACCUUAUGAAUAAGCACCGGCUAACUCCGUGCCAGCAGCCGCGGUAAUACGGAGGGUGCAAGCGUUAUCCGGAUUCACUGGGUUUAAAUGGUGCGUAGGCGGGCAGGUAAGUCAGUGGUGAAAUCCUAGAGCUUAACUCUAGAACUGCCAUUGAUACUAUCUGUCUUGAAUAUUGUGGAGGUAAGCGGAAUAUGUCAUGUAGCGGUGAAAUGCUUAGAUAUGACAUAGAACACCUAUUGCGAAGGCAGCUUACUACGCAUAUAUUGACGCUGAGGCACGAAAGCGUGGGGAUCAAACAGGAUUAGAAACCCUAGUAGUCC